GACGAACGCUGGCGGCGUGCUUAACACAUGCAAGUCGAACGAAGUGGCGAACGGGUGAGUAACGCGUAGUCAACCUGCCCUUCGGAGGGGGACAACAGUUGGAAACGACUGCUAAUCCCGCAUACUGAAGGAGGGGAUUGCGUCUGAUUAGCUAGUUGGAGGGGUAACGGCACACCAAGGCGAUGAUCAGUAGCCGGGUGGAGAGGAUGAACGGCCACAGUGGGAAGGGGACACGGCCCAGACUCCUACGGGAGGCAGCAGUGGGGAAUCUUCCGCAAUGGACGAAAGUCCGACGGAGAAACGCCGCGUUAGUGAUGACGGCCUUCGGGUUGGAAAGCUCUGUUAAGCGGGACGCGGUACCGGAAUAGAAAGCCACGGCUAACUACGUGCCAGCAGCCGCGGUAAUUC
rnacentral:rRNA from 1 species